UUAAACAACUCAGUAUUCGGCUGUCUCCUGGAUUUAUUGCAACAAGUGUCUUUUAAGAAAGACUUCAGGGUGAUGGGACAUUGCUCACAGGAUGCAGAGAAAGAACAUCAAAACUCAUGAACAGACGAGAUGUUGCAUCCUUUUACGAGGACAUCAGUGACCAACUGCUUCUGCUGCCUAAGCUGUUCUGUUGGUGCAGGUUCUUGCACCUGAGCAGCACUGGGAACCACCUACGCUGCCUCUGAUGAACUCACCAGUCAAGCUGUUGACUCCAAAACAUCCUCUGGUCUCAGGAUUCCCUUCUGGCAGCACAAGACCUGAGCUCACAUUAUUGGGCAAAGACAAAACAGGAACCCAGCUUAAAAUAGUAGAUGAUGCCAUACAGAUUGUCUGGAUUUUAUUUUUAACUGGGUCAACCAUGUGCCAGUGGAAGUGAUGACUGAGAUGUCCAUUUAAAGUCAUAAAGUGAUCUGGGCUUGCUGGUGAGGACCAUCUCCCUCCAGGCUGUGCCAGGGUAACCCAGCCCAGAGCUACUUCCAAGCCUGACCUUCCAUUCUUUCUCUUAAUAUCUCUCUGUAUCUUUGACCAUAUCUGCUAUUACCUUUGCAGUGUGCCUCAGUCCCAGCUCACCCCUUCUGCCUGCUCUUCCUGUCCUGUCUGUCUCCCAAAUCCCCUCUUCUCCCUCCUGCUAAUUCUUCAUAGCACACAACUACAGGAAGGCAUUUCCAAUCCCACUGCAGAGAUGUUUGGAAAAAAAUAAUUCCCAGUGAUUUCAUCUGCAGCACUAUGGGUCGCUUGGAGAUGAAACUGAAACAUUCUAAUCCUCAACGGGAAAUUAUCAAGCCUGGUGAAGAAAAAGCAGAUGUGUACGGCACUUAGAGUGCACCUGGGCUCUCUUCGUUAGGAAAGCAACAGGCUUAUGCUCUUUUUCAAUGAAAAUAAAGUAGGUAUCCUUUCUUCAGACAACAGAUAUUAAACUGUGGUGAUUGAAGGAAACCAUCGUUUUUACUUGCAGGAAUAGAUAAUUUGCACUAGAGUAUUUAAAUAAUUAAUUGUCCAAGGAUAUCUCAGAAGACUAAUUAAUAUAUUUUUUUAAGAGAAAGUGGGACACCAAGAAACUCUAGAGGUUUGAUAAGAAAUUGUUAACAGUUUAAAAUUCAGUUGGGACAGGACAAGGUGAGUCUGGCACUGAUCUUAUCAAAAUCACAGAGAGGCUGCUAUGGGACACUAUCCAAAAGGAAUGAAGAAAUUGUAAUAUUAAGAUGAAAAUUAUGCUGCCAUAAAUAGCUUGUGACUGAUUUCUGAUUAUUUCCUUUAUUUUCAAGACUACAGGGUGGAUGGUUAGAGAUAAUUGUGUAGACAUGAUUCUUUUAGUACUCCCCAAAGAAUGUAAUCCUGUGUGACCUGUUUUUAUAUCUGAAAAAUCAAUAAACAAUGCU